CAAAUCUUUGUUUCAAAUUAGUUUUGCCGGUCUGUGCAUCAACCAUUGCUUCUUAUAACAGCAUCAUCCGUGCCUUGUAUGACACUGAGAAUAAACCGUUUACCGCAUAUACCAUCAUCAUCAUCAAUCAGCAUUACCCUGCCUUCCGUGCUCAGAUCGGACAGCGGUGAUAACGUCCUGGGAACGUAACAUUUCUAGCUGGGAAUACACUCUCAGGUCACGACAACACAAUCCAGCACGCUAUACACGCGUUCAUCCAGAAAGACCGCUGAAAGGCUGUUCUUACCUCGUACGUGCUCUCAUCAUUCAUUCAAACUCCACUGUUUCGUUUGGGAGGAUAAUGGCUCCCAGACAUAGAGGCACCCUGAGCUUCAGCGCAUCCAGGCUUUGUACAUUCAGGACAGGAUAAAUCCAUGAAGAUGACACGUGGGAGCCAGGGGUUUUCCACAAAUUAAAAGAAGGCCACAGAGGAGACAGUGAAUGUCCUCAAAUUUUUCCUAAAAUACAAACAUUAAAGGAGAUCCCUCAUGAAAAGUUCAAUGAGAGAUUUUAUCAGUCAGUUAGUGACUAUCAUGUUUAUUUAAUUUAUAAAUCCCAGAUCAGAUCAACCAUCAUGGCUUGUAGACAUUGUUUCUCUUAAACAGCAAAUGAACUAUAAAAGGGAAUUUGAGGAGAUGGGUCAAGUAUAGCUGGUCUUUUAGCAUUAUCAUGUGGAAUUUCUUAUGCAUCAAACAAACAAUAACAAUAUUGAUAUUUUUCUGCUUUUUCAGUAUGACAAUGAGAUAAUCACAGUGAUUAUAGAAAUAUUACAUUAUAUUUACCUACAUUAUAUGAUAAUAUAAAUGCAUAUAAUAUACAAUUAAAAAAAAAUAGUAUCUGUAUAUCUUACAUAUUUUAUGUAUAUCUUAUUUAUCAAUUGACCCUUCGAGUUUGAUUGACAGGUGAUCUGACCAAUCAUAAUGCCAAAUCUGCCAUUAUUGUCCAACGAUAAAAUCAGACCAGAGAGUAGUUUAACCUCAAUGGACUUGAAGUUGAACAUAAAUAAUAUAAUUAUAAUAAUAGUGUUUCCGCGGUUGAAACAAGAUACAUUCUGAUGUUCAUUCAUGUUUAUUUCACGAUAUAACUUGUAAAGAGGAAGAGAUGAUCGCUGAGGCACUACAGUGAUCUGUCACGACACAUUGAAGAGACACUAAAUUGUUUGAAAUUAAAAAAGGGCAAACUUUGAAAGCUGAGAUUUUGUUUCAUACCUAAAGUAACCUGCUCUGUCUUGUCUGUCGGCACGUUGUUUGUUUCGUCUUUGCACCGCGAUGUAAGCUAUUUUUCACCACAUGGUGUGUGGCAUGAGAGCGCCAUGGCUUGUCAGACACACGAAAAGCAAAAAUGUGACAUUUAUAAUAAUGGGUUUAUUUGAUUAUUGUUUUUUGUAAAAUAGUUCUGUAAGUGACAUUAGUAAAUAAACAAACAUUAUUUAACUAUAUAAAUAUAUGU
ensembl:lncRNA